rnacentral:sRNA from 1 species
CUAUUUGGUCCCCAAUUAGGCCACAUCUGUAGCUAGAGGGAAAUGUAGUUGCUCAUUAGGGAGGGGCAUCGCCAGGCUUCUAGGGGCCCCCACUCAGUGUUGAGAGCUGAGGGAAGAGACCCUGCCACUCUGGGGCUGGGUGGCAUUAGGGCAGAGAUGCAGCCAGUGGCAUAGGCAAAAGCAGUGCACUUCUUUCCAGAGACGCACAGGAGGUUCCAGCCUUCCCAGUCCAGCACAUACAGCCAGCCAGGUCAAUCUUUCUCCAUUCAGUAUGGAACCGGGAGCUUGUCCGGGAUCAUUGGAGCCGACCAAGUCUCUGUGGAAGGACUAAUCGUGGUUGGCCAGCAGUUUGGAGAAAGUGUCACAGAGCCAGGCCAGACCUUUGUGGAUGCAGAGUUUGAUGGAAUUCUGGGCCUGGGAUACCCCUCCUUGGCUGUGGGAGGAGUGACCCCAGUGUUUGACAAUAUGAUGGCUCAGAAUCUGGUGGACUUGCCGAUGUUUUCUGUCUACAUGAGCAGUAACCCAGAAGGUGGUGCGGGGAGUGAGCUGAUUUUCGGAGGCUACGACCACUCCCAUUUCUCUGGGAGCCUGAAUUGGGUCCCAGUCACCAAGCAAGCUUACUGGCAGAUUGCACUGGAU